rnacentral:rRNA from 1 species
UACGUAGGUGGCAAGCGUUGUCCGGAAUUAUUGGGCGUAAAGCGCGCGCAGGCGGUCCUUUAAGUCUGAUGUGAAAGCCCACGGCUCAACCGUGGAGGGUCAUUGGAAACUGGAGGACUUGAGUACAGAAGAGGAAAGCGGAAUUCCACGUGUAGCGGUGAAAUGCGUAGAGAUGUGGAGGAACACCGGCGGCGAAGGCGGCGAUCUGGGUCGAUACUGACGCUGAGGUGCGAAAGCGUGGGGAGCAAACAGG